CGGCGGACGGGUGAGUAACGCGUGGGUAACCUGCCUCAUACAGGGGGAUAACAGUUGGAAACGGCUGCUAAUACCGCAUAAGCGCACAGUACCGCAUGGUACCGUGUGAAAAACUCCGGUGGUAUGAGAUGGACCCGCGUCUGAUUAGCUAGUUGGUGAGGUAAUGGCCCACCAAGGCAACGAUCGGUAGCCGGACUGAGAGGUUGAACGGCCACAUUGGGACUGAGACACGGCCCAG
rnacentral:rRNA from 1 species